rnacentral:misc_RNA from 1 species
GUAGGUGAACCUGCGGAAGGAUCAUUAUUGAAUAUUCUUGAUGGGUUGUUGCUGGCUCUUCGGGGCAUGUGCACACCUAUCUUGAUUUUAUUCGUCCACCUGUGCACCUUUUGUAGUCUUGGGGGUUGAGAGUAGUCGACUGUCGGAUCGGCCAUUUGGUCUUUUCCGGAUGUGAGAAAUGCUAAGUGCGAAAGCAUAAGGCUCUUCUCAAAUGACUUGGAAACUUCUCCCUCAAGUGCUAUGUAUUCAUAUACCUUAUAGUAUGUCGCAGAAUGUGAUCAAUGGGCCUAUGAGCCUAUAUAAAUCUAUAUACAACUUUCAGCAACGGAUCUCUUGGCUCUC